rnacentral:rRNA from 1 species
CAACAGCCACGGUAACACGUAGGUGGCAAGCGUUGUCCGGAAUUAUUGGGCGUAAAGGGCUCGCAGGCGGUUUCUUAAGUCUGAUAUGAAAGCCCCCGGCUCAACCGGGGAGGGUCAUUGGAAACUGGGAAACUUGAGUGCAGAAGAGGGGAGUGGAAUUCCACGUGUAGCGGUGAAAUGCGUAGAGAUGUGGAGGAACACCAGUGGCGAAGGCGACUCUCUGGUCUGUAACUGACGCUGAGGAGCGAAAGCGUGGGGAGCGAACAGGAUUAGAUACCCCAGUAGUCCCUGUCUCUUAUAC